rnacentral:sRNA from 1 species
CAUUGAGAUGCUUAAAUCUGCAGUGGAGGGCAAGAGACACGACCCCAGGAGACAGCAACUGGUGAUCUGAGGCAGUGGAACAAGCUCCCUGUUGGAGUCUGAGGCCUUGGUCCUACUCCCAGUUUCACUCCUGGUUUGCUGAAUGAUCUGGAGACCUCUGGGUCCCACGGCUUUCCAUUUGCAGAGCGGAAAGAGUGGAUGGGAAGUUUCUAGGUUCCCUCCACUUCUCAUCAUUGCCGGCAUUUGCUUAUAACAGGGGUUGGACUCCUCUCUGUGCACCUGUCCUGCGGGCAGACCUAGGAAGGAUGCCAGGACCAUGCCUGGUAGAGGGCUCAGUUGGAGUUUCAGGGAUGAGCACCUGCCUCGGGGACCUGAAGGAAGCCCAUGGAAGGCCAUGGCCAAAGGAGUUCAUCGCCCUGGGUCCAGAAGAAUCUGCCCAGCAGAUGGUCCUGCGGAGGAUCCAGGAGCUUUCUGAUUCAGUAUGGAGGGAGGACCAGCAAGACCCCUUCAUGCUGGCUGACCUGGACAUGCUGGCCAGCCGCCAUCAGGCCUUCUGCCAAGCCCUGCCACAGGUCUCGCCCUUCUAUGCAGUGAAGUGCAACAGUAGCACUUGGGUGCUGCGUGUCCUGGCCGCCCUGGGCACCGGCUUUGACUGUGCCAGCCAGGUGGAACUGGAGCAGGUGCUGGGCCUGGGUGUGGCCCUCUCGUGCAUCAUCUAUGCCAGCCCCUGCAAGCCUGCCUCCCCCAUCCGGUAUGCUGCCCAGCACGGGGUGCAGCUCCUGAACUUCGACAGCGAGGAGGAGCUCACCAAGGUGGCCCAGCACCACCCCAGGACCAGGACAGUCAGAGCACCUUCCCUCUGAGCACCAAGUUCGGGGCCAGCCUGGAAGCAUGUGGGCACCUGCUCACGUCUGCCAGGGACCUGGGGUUGGCCGUGGUCGGAGCCAGCUUCCACGUGGGCUCCAACUGCCAGACACCCCAGAGUUUCACACAAGCUAUCGCUGACUGCCGGUGCGUGUUUGAAGUGGGCCACAGGGGCUGGGCAUGAUAUGAGCUGCCUGGACAUUGGAGGAGGCUUCCCCGGAAUGGAGGGCUCCGGAUCCAAGUUUGAGGAGUUGGCAAGAGUGAUCAGUGCUGCCCUGGCCCAGGACUUCCCUGAGGAGUGUGGUGUCAAGGUCAUCGCAGAGCCUGGCCGCUUCUAUGUGGAGUCUGUCUGCACGGCCGCUGUCAACAUCAUUGCCAAGAAGGCUGUGCUGGAGCCCGGAGGCAGCCGGAAGCUGAUGUAUUAUCUCAAUGACGGCCACUAUGGCUCCUUCCGCCUCUGCCACCGACAGCCUGUCCCAAGGGUUCCCAUCGUGGUGAAGGUAAGGGGGCCACUCCAGCCCCAAGAGUCUAGUCCCUUACCUUGAGGUGCCUUGUGCCUCCCCCACUGGGAACAGUGGCUGUGCUGGACCCCAGAGGCAGGUCCUGGCCUGCUGCAUAGAGCACACGUGGACACGUACAGGACGUGUGCUCGACAGGUCAGAGCACGUGCAGCAGCUGGAUAUGUGGGCCUUGUCAGGCAAAGGGAUGAUCACCAGAACACAAAGGCAUGGGCUGUUUUCCCAAAUAUUGAAGUUCUUCUCCCUGGUGGCUUAAGAGCCAUUCCUUCUCCCUGGUGGUUAAAGAGCUGUUCCCCCAAGUCCACCAGGGGCCUCCCUGCCGACACCCUUGCUGCUCAGUCCCUCCCAUGAUCUAGCAACAAAGCUUCAAUACCUGACCCUGUAGGGCCGACAGGAUCUUCCUCCAGCCUACGGCAGUUGUCUCCUAAUGUGAUGGGUUGGUGUCCGGGCCACACUGCUUUGUAAAUAUCUUGACUGUUUCUCCCGGCCAGUGAAAGUUUUGGUGUGUGCACACAUUUGGUCAUGUAUAUGAUGUGUGUCUGCAUGCAUGUGUGAGUGCGUAUGUGUGUGAAGUGUUUCUGUGUGUGUCUUCAUGUGUGUAUUUGCCUCUCUUCUCAUCAGAAGGAGUGAGUACUGGAUGUGGAGGAACCAGUAGGAGACCUUGUGUUUGUUUGGUUCCCACAAUGGUUUUCAAUUAGUUGCCCAUAUUUAAAAAUCUAGACAUAUUUCA